rnacentral:rRNA from 1 species
UUAGGAAUCUUGCGCAAUGGACGAAAGUCUGACGCAGCGACGCCGCGUGAGCGAAGAAGGCCUUCGGGUUGUAAAGCUCUGUCGCCUGGGACGAAUACGCCGGGGGGGAAAGUUCCCCGGAAUUGACUGUACCAGGAAAGGAAGCACCGGCUAACUCCGUGCCAGCAGCCGCGGUAAUACGGAGGGUGCAAGCGUUGUUCGGAUUUAUUGGGCGUAAAGCGCAUGUAGGCUGUAUUGUAAGUUCGGUGUGAAAUCCUUGGGCUCAACCCAAGAACUGCAUUGAAUACUGCUUUACUAGAGUGUCGGAGAGGGUACUGGAAUUCCUGGUGUAGAGGUGAAAUUCGUAGAUAUCAGGAAGAACACCGGUGGCGAAGGCGGGUACCUGGACGAUUACUGACGCUGAGAUGCGAAAGCGUGGGGAGCAAACAGG